rnacentral:rRNA from 1 species
AGAGUUUGAUCAUGGCUCAGAACGAACGCUGGCGGCAUGCCUAACACAUGCAAGUCGAACGAGACCUUCGGGUCUAGUGGCGCACGGGUGCGUAACGCGUGGGAAUCUGCCCUUGGGUUCGGAAUAACAGUUAGAAAUGACUGCUAAUACCGGAUGAUGACUUCGGUCCAAAGAUUUAUCGCCCAGGGAUGAGCCCGCGUAGGAUUAGCUUGUUGGUGAGGUAAAAGCUCACCAAGGCGACGAUCCUUAGCUGGUCUGAGAGGAUGAUCAGCCACACUGGGACUGAGACACGGCCCAGACUCCUACGGGAGGCAGCAGUGGGGAAUAUUGGACAAUGGGCGAAAGCCUGAUCCAGCAAUGCCGCGUGAGUGAUGAAGGCCUUAGGGUUGUAAAGCUCUUUUACCCGGGAUGAUAAUGACAGUACCGGGAGAAUAAGCCCCGGCUAACUCCGUGCCAGCAGCCGCGGUAAUACGGAGGGGGCUAGCGUUGUUCGGAAUUACUGGGCGUAAAGCGCACGUAGGCGGCUUUGUAAGUUAGAGGUGAAAGCCCGGAGCUCAACUCCGGAAUUGCCUUUAAGACUGCAUCGCUUGAAUCAUGGAGAGGUGAGUGGAAUUCCGAGUGUAGAGGUGAAAUUCGUAGAUAUUCGGAAGAACACCAGUGGCGAAGGCGACUUACUGGACACAUAUUGACGCUGAGGUGC